GGGUGCUUGCUGCCGCGGUGGACCUCGACGCUGGCGACAUCUGCAGCAUCUCCCUCCCGUCGGGCUGCAGGACCUGUACGCCCAAGAGAUUGGCCAGGAACAACCGCAAUCCGUCAUGGUCGUGUGGCAAGAUACAGAGGGAAGGGAAGCAGGAUUGGGAUGUGAGGUAGAGAUACAGCCAGCAAAAGGGCGAGGAACAGAGACUUUCGGAGAGGAGAACGGUUGGAGUUGUGCGGAGAACUCUGCUAACUAUGUUUGGUUCUUGGACCCCAUAGAUGGAACAAAGAGCUUCAUUAACUGUUAUUGAAAUGUAACAGUGUGCAGGCCAAUUAAUUUCAGCUCAACCAACUAUGAUGGAUGUUGAUUUGUUAUUCAAAGGCAAGCCUAUUUUUGGCACGCUUAUUGUGCUACUUCACA